rnacentral:rRNA from 1 species
UACAGAGGUCCCAAGCGUUGUUCGGAUUCAUUGGGCGUAAAGGGUGCGUAGGCGGUGGGGUAAGUUGGAUGUGAAAUCUUGGGGCUUAACCUCAAAAUUGCCUUCAAUACUGCUCCGCUCGAGUUCUGUAGAGGAGAUUGGAAUUUACGGUGUAGCAGUGAAAUGCGUAGAUAUCGUAAGGAACGCCAGUGGCGAAAGCGAAUCUCUGGGCAGCAACUGACGCUGAGGCACGAAAGCGUGGGGAGCAAACAGG